CCUACGGGAGACAGCAGUGGGGGAUAUUGCACAAUGGGGGAAACCCUGAUGCAGCGACGCCGCGUGGGCGAAGAAGUAUUUCGGUAUGUAAAGCCCUAUCAGCAGGGAAGAAGAUAUGACGGUACCUGAGUGAGAAGCACUGGCUAAAUACGUGCCAGCAGCCGCGGUAAUACGUAUGGUGCAAGCGUUAUCCGGAUUUACUGGGUGUAAAGGGAUCGCAGGCGGUACGGCAAGCCUGAUGUGAAAGCCCGCGGCCCAACCGCGGGACUGCAUUGGAAACUGCCGGGCUGGAGUGGCGGAGAGGGAGGCGGAAUUCCGAGUGUAGCGGUGAAAUGCGUAGAGAUUAGGAGGAACACCAGUGGCGAAGGCGGCUUACUGGACCGAAACUGACGCUGAGGCUCGAAAGCGUGGGGAGCAAACAGGAUUAGAUACCCCAGUAGUC
rnacentral:rRNA from 1 species